CGCUUUCACCGCCGCGGCCCGGGUUCGAUUCCCGGCCAGGGAAUUGUUUUACACUGGCCGCCCUCCCGCAGGAAUCUUCCUUCACUACGCUGUCAGCCGGCCUGCUCCAAGGGCCAGAAGCAGAACAGUCUCCGCAGCGGGGUUAAAGCCGGGCGAAGGAGGGCAAGUGCUGGUGGACCACCUCUCACGACACACCGUUCCUGUUUAUCUCAGUGUCCGUCAUCCGCGGGAGCAGCUUUAGAGAGCGACUGAGCGUCUCGCUCCGGUGUACACAGCCCGGCAAAGAUGCCAGCCCCCGUGGAGCUGCACCCAAUAAGCCCACCUUCUUUCCCGUCGCCACCCCGGAGACGCCCAUCGGGCUGAGCUGCGAAUAACUAAGAGAGAGGCCAAGCCAAGUCGUGGCGUUUGUGGCAGCCCCGGACACGGGCACCAGCCAGUCAGCGGAGCCUCCUCACCUCCGUUGCCAGCGAAGGCGCUCGUUAGGCCUUGGGAAGAGGCGACCGGAGGCGAUGCCCGCGAAUUUGUUAGGGGGGGGAGAGACCGUGGUCACGAAGGGGGUUCUCCCAGAGUGAAGCUUCUUCAUCUCACUCUAGAGUUGCUGAUCCCUGUGAUUUCCUCCAUGUGGGAAACGGUGUUUGUGCUAGAAGAGGCUGCGCUCUUUACCUGACAUAACGGGGUUCAAGACUGACAACGCCUCACGCCCACCCGAAAACGUUUACAUGGCUUCCUUGUCUCUUUUUUUUUCUGUCCUAAAGUCGCCUCAUCUUCACAUCCCCUCUUUUUUUUCUUCCACACUCGAGAGUGUCUCUCUCUCUCAGUAAAAGCUCCACCAAAUAUUUGAAAUAUCUCAACCAGAAAGACUGCAAUAAAUACAUUAUUUCAUUCGUGGAAGGUACAGACCAGCUAGAUUGAGAGUUGCUUGAUAUUUUCUGCUAAACGGUGAGGCAUAGAGCACUUGGAAGGUUUCUCUUUGGGCCACUGUUUGUGUACUCUUGGGUUUCCUUCUUUUCCCCAGACAGUAUGGCGCUGUGGGGCCAGGGGUAAACCCUGCUUUCCGGCUUUCUGGCUGCAGAUAAAGGCCUCAGCUGGUGCAGGAAUCAAAAGCAAACCAAAAGACACGUGGGUUCGCCCCAGUGGGUCCAAGAUAGAGUCUGACUGUACCAGGAUUCCGAUUAGAACAGAGGUUGCUGCAGGCACAACGCAGACUACUAACCACUAGAGAAUCCCAAGGCGCCCCACACCUACUGCCCGUCGUUUUGCUUCCCCACCCCUCUAUUAUUUAUUUGUAUAUUUUUUUGAGAGACAGAAUUUCGCUUUGUCGCCCAGGCUGGAGGGCAGCGGCACGAUCUCGGCUCACUGCUACCUCCGCCUCUUAGGUUCAAGCGAUUCUCCUGCCUCAGCCUCCUAAGUAGCUGAGACUACAAACGUGCACCACCACGCCCAGCUAAUUUUUGUAUUUGUGGUAGAGACGAGCUUUCACCAUGUUGGCCCGGCUGGUCUCGAACUCCUGACUUCAAGUGAGUGAUCCACCCACCUCGGCCUCCCAAAGUGCUGGGAUUACAGGCGUGAGCCACCGCCCCUGGUCCCCCGAUUUUUUUUAUUAAUGUAAAAACAUUAUGCGAUUUUUACUUCUUUAUUCUUGGGCAGCUACAGGUUCUUGUGAUUUUCUCUCACAUCUUCUCCCCAUUUCCCCCUCUCCAUUCUGAUACAUGUCCCAUCUUCUCUGCAUCCAGCCGGUGCCCUCUGCACGGGCAUCCUGGGCUGUCCCAUUGUCUAGUCCUGGUCUCCCCUGCUUCUCCCUCCUCCUUGUCACGUUUUCCCUUUUGACUCCCCUGCCUCUUUCCCGCUCCCGCCCCACCGACCCCAUCUACUGAAGCCGAGUUGAGUGAAGGGAGAGCAAGCGGAACAGAUGAUUGCCUGAAGGCGGCGCAAAAGAACAGAAAGAGCUACCGUGAGAGCCGUCGGGGAGUUCAGCUUCCCUUGGGCCCUACUUGGCUCAGGCUGGGGUCGCAGAUCC
rnacentral:lncRNA from 1 species